AAAGUGAAUAGUGAAACCUGGUGGCUCAACCAUUCAGACUAUUAUUCAAACUCACAAGCUCGAGAAUGGUAGAGGUAACUGGAAUUUCUUGUGUAGGAGUGAAAUCCGUAGAUAUAAGAAGGAACACCAAUGGCGUAGGCAGGUUACUGGACCAUUUCUGACACUGAGGCACGAAAGCGUGGGGAGCGAACCGGAUUAGAUACCCGGGUAGUCCACGCCGUAAACGAUGGAUACUA
rnacentral:rRNA from 1 species